AGCAAGCAAAGCAGUCACCACUUUCAUUAAUCUCAUCAUGAAAAUUUACAGCUCAAAAGUAAGACGAGAUCUCACCCCUUGAAGCCCGACUCCAUGGCCCGAAAACUUUAAUUUUCUCUCUUGUUUCCCUCUGUUCUCUCCUUUUUUUUCUUUCAAUCUCCUUACUCAGACCUGCUUCCUCUCACCGUCCUCGCUCUAGCUUUUCGGUCUCCCCAAAAGCUCGAAGAUCCCCGGAGGAAAUGAGAGACAAGGGAAUCCUCUUCACCCGAAUUCCUCCUUAACCGCUAAGUUCUUCCUCUUCGCUCUACUUUUUCACUUCUAUUUUCGAAACUCUCUCCCUUCGCCCCUCCCUCUGUUUUCUCUCUCGUUCUUUCUGUUUUCUCCCUCGUUCUUUCUGUUCAUUCCCUUCCUAUUCCCCCUCGCCAUUUCUCUUUUUAUCUCAUCUCCAGAACACCCAAAGAGAAAAUAAGAGUCUCCUUUCUUCAACCUUUCUCUCCCUCACCCUCAAUCUCACUCACUCGUCGAGAUCAGCUCUGCCUCGUCCUCUUCUUCCUCCUUUCCAGCCGAAUCACAGUAAAUCUCAUCGAUCUCCUUCGAUGUUCUUGUCGCUGAAAGAAUAAAUAAAUAAUUUUAACCAAAACGGUCCCGUUUUGGCACUUAGGUACUUGGGCUACGGCCCAUCGAGCUAGGUCAAGAGUCCGGUCUAUUUUAGUUUGUUCAAAUAUU
rnacentral:lncRNA from 1 species